UAUAUAUUAAAUGAAUCAUCAUAAUUUUUACUUAAUAAAAUUAAAAUUCAAUGUGAACUAGAAUUUUCUAAGUAAAAUUUUAAAUAUCUACGCGUUUAAUUCAUGUAAUAAAUUAACUGGUUGGAAAGAGUAAAUCUUAUUAUAUAUUUUCUUGUAAUAUUUAAACGUUUUAUAGUCCCUUCACAUAAACAUAGUAAUUUUAAGUAAAUUUUAAUAGAAAAGCAUAGCGCGUUUGAAUCCGCACAUGCGCGUUUGGACAAGUCUAACUGCGCACUUUGGAUCUGAGACGAGACGAAUUGGCGGGCUGCUGCGUGGCUGCUUUCUGUCGUGUUUGAGAUCAAGGAGGAAUUCAGGAGAAUCGAUCAUGGGGCAGAGAUUCAUGUUCAGACUUGACCAAUGCACAUCAAGACUUAUUGCCCUGAUGAAGGCCAUGGGAGGUGUUGUGGGGACCAACUGAGGCCAUUUCUGGACAAACUGAGUCAGACACAAAGCCUUAAGAUGGGAAUCAGUUAUCCGCAGCCUCAUUCUCUACUUUGACGAUAAAGAAGAUGAUAAACUGUGUUUUGAAGAUGAACAGAGUUCUGACGGGCUCGGGACGACAUGAGGGAGGACAGCGGCAGUGACAUCACUCAGCACAGCAUUAAAAUACUGGUCGUUCGUGGUGCUGAUGGAGAAGAUCCAAUCGAUGUAUCCAUCCUUUUUGAAGGGAAGGAAAUGCUGGAAGCAGCAAUACCGUAAAGACAGUUUUACUGAAUGCACCUGUGUCAAGAGAUGACUGAAUGUCCAUUCUUGUAUGAACAUUUUUGAUGACUGAAAAAUAAACUGUUUAAUUGAA